GAGCCUCAAAUCUAGCCUAAUUUCCACUUAUGCUCUGAACUUCCAGAAAUUGUAUGAUAAAACAUUUUAACUUUUUAGUAAAGGAGAUUGAAAGACUUCUAAGCGCCUUAGAUCAAGUACCGCAAGGGAAAGAUGAAAUAGAAAUGAAAUAACCGCAAAGCACACAAAAGCAGAGACCUCCCCUCGUACCUUUUGCAUCAUGGUCUAGCCAGUUUAAUCAAGCAAAAAGAAAAUUUUAGUCUGACCCCCCGAAACUAAGCGAGCUACUCCAAAACAGCUUUUAGAGCCAACCCGUCUCUGUUGCAAAAGAGUGGGAAGAUUUUUGAGUAGCGGUGAUAAGCCUACCGAGCUUAGAGAUAGCUGGUUAUUCAGAAAAAGAAUCUUAGUUCUGCCUUAAGUCUUCAAAUUAACCAAAACAACAAGCUAAACUUAAGAGUUAUUCAAAUAAGGCACAGCUUAUUUGAAAAAGGACACAACCUAAAAUAAAGGGUAAGUUUUACUAUAAAUAACCAAGUGGGCUUAAAAGCAGCCACCUUUCAAAAAGCGUUAAAGCUUCAUUAUUCUUGUACUUUAAUACCUAAAACCCCUAUCAACCCUUCACCAGUACUGAAUGACCCCAUACCUACUAUGGGAGACAUCAUGCUAGAACUAGUAACAAGAAAUAAUAUUUCUCCUCAAUGUGUGUGUGAGCCAGAAACGGAUAAACCGCCGGCAAUUAACGUAAAUGAACACCCUGUAGCAACUAGCACUAGAAAACUCUACACACCCUAACGUUAAUCUUACACUAGGACAUUACCGGAAAGAUUAAAAGGGAAAGAAGGAACUCGGCAAAUUUUAACCCCGCCUGUUUACCAAAAACAUCGCCUCUUGAUUUACCAUAAGAGGUCCAGCCUGCCCGGUGACAAAGUUUAACGGCCGCGGUACCCUAACCGUGCGAAGGUAGCAUAAUCACUUGUUCUUUAAAUAGGGACUAGUAUCAACGGCAUCACGAGGGUUACACUGUCUCCUUUCCCCAAUCAGUGAAACUGAUCUCCCCGUGAAGAAGCGGGGAUAAACAUAUAAGACGAGAAGACCCCAUGGAGCUUUAAGCUCAACAACACCUCCCUACAAAUAUACCACCAUAACCCACGAGCCCUGUUUGUUAGCUUUAGGUUGGGGUGACCGCGGAGUAUAACAUAACCUCCACGACGAAUAGGCCUAAAACCUUUAUCCAAGAGCCACUGCUCUAAGAAUCAUAAAAUUGACGUAAAAUGAUCCGUUUUCGAUCAACGAACCAAGUUACCCUGGGGAUAACAGCGCAAUCCAUUUCAAGAGCCCCUAUCGACAAAUGGGUUUACGACCUCGAUGUUGGAUCAGGGUAUCCUAGUGGUGCAGCCGCUACUAAAGGUUCGUUUGUUCAACGAUUAAAACCCUACGUGAUCUGAGUUCAGACCGGAGUAAUCCAGGUCGGUUUCUAUCUAUAAAGAGUUGCUCCUAGUACGAAAGGAUCGGAACAACAUGGCCAAUGUUUAAAUAAGCCAUAGUCAAAUACUAAUGAACCCAACUCAAUUAGUUACGAUCUUUCAUAUUCCCCUAGAUUAGGGGUG
rnacentral:rRNA from 1 species